rnacentral:rRNA from 1 species
UGGGGAAUAUUGCACAAUGGGCGAAAGCCUGAUGCAGCAACGCCGCGUGCGGGAUGACGGCCUUCGGGUUGUAAACCGCUUUCAGCAGGGACGAAGGUUUUCUGACGGUACCUGCAGAAGAAGCACCGGCUAACUACGUGCCAGCAGCCGCGGUGAUACGUAGGGUGCGAGCGUUGUCCGGAAUUAUUGGGCGUAAAGAGCUUGUAGGCGGUCCGUUGCGUCGGAAGUGAAAACUCAGGGCUUAACCCUGAGCCUGCUUUCGAUACGGGCGGACUUGAGGGAUGUAGGGGAGAACGGAAUUCCUGGUGGAGCGGUGGAAUGCGCAGAUAUCAGGAGGAACACCAGUGGCGAAGGCGGUUCUCUGGACAUUUCCUGACGCUGAGAAGCGAAAGCGUUGGGGAGCAAACAGGCUUAGAUACCCUGGUAGUCCACGCCGUAAACGGUGGCACUAGGUGUGGGACCCAUUCCACGGGUUCCGUGCCGUAGCUAACGCAUUAAGUGCCCCGCCUGGGG